AUAGGCUUUCUUUAUAUGUAAUAAAAAUUUCUGUUCUUAUCAGCUUAAUAUCUGAUAUGUUAGGCAAUGCCUAACUCAUAUAUUAA
rnacentral:sRNA from 1 species